rnacentral:rRNA from 1 species
CCUACGGGAGGCAGCAGUGGGGAAUCUUCCGCAAUGGACGAAAGUCUGACGGAGCAACGCCGCGUGAGUGAUGACGGCCUUCGGGUUGUAAAGCUCUGUUAAUCGGGACGAAAGGUCCUCUUGCGAAUAGUUAGAGGAAUUGACGGUACCGGAAUAGAAAGCCACGGCUAACUACGUGCCAGCAGCCGCGGUAAUACGUAGGUGGCAAGCGUUGUCCGGAAUUAUUGGGCGUAAAGCGCGCGCAGGCGGAUCAGUUAGUCUGUCUUAAAAGUUCGGGGCUUAACCCCGUGAUGGGAUGGAAACUGCUGAUCUAGAGUAUCGGAGAGGAAAGUGGAAUUCCUAGUGUAGCGGUGAAAUGCGUAGAUAUUAGGAAGAACACCAGUGGCGAAGGCGACUUUCUGGACGAAAACUGACGCUGAGGCGCGAAAGCCAGGGGAGCGAACGGGGAUUAGAUACCCCCGGGUAGUCCUGGCCGUAAACGAUGGGGUACUAGGGUGUAGGAGGUAUCGACCCCUUCUGUGCCGGAGUUAACCGCAAUAAGUACCCCCGCUGGGGAUACGCCGCAAGGUUGAAACUCAAAGGAAUGACCGGCNGNGAGNGCGACGACGACGACGAGGAGAGG